GACGAACGCUGGCGGCGUGCUUAACACAUGCAAGUCGAACGGAAAGGCCCUGCUUUUGUGGGGUGCUCGAGUGGCGAACGGGUGAGUAACACGUGAGUAACCUGCCCUUGACUUUGGGAUAACUUCAGGGAACUGGGGCUAAUACCGGAUAGGAGCUCCUGCUGCAUGGUGGUGGUUGGAAAGUUUCGGCGGUUGUGGAUGGACUCGCGGCUUAUCAGCUUGUUGGUGGGGUAGUGGCUUACCAAGGCUUUGACGGGUAGCCGGCCUGAGAGGGUGACCGGCCACAUUGGGACUGAGAUACGGCCCAGACUCCUACGGGAGGCAGCAGUGGGGAAUAUUGCACAAUGGGCGGAAGCCUGAUGCAGCAACGCCGCGUGCGGGAUGACGGCCUUCGGGUUGUAAACCGCUUUCGCCUGUGACGAAGCGUGAGUGACGGUAAUGGGUAAAGAAGCACCGGCUAACUACGUG
rnacentral:rRNA from 1 species